rnacentral:sRNA from 1 species
UGGUGCAGAGGACCAACCUGGGCAUCCUGCGGGCGCUGGUGUGCCAGUGUUGCAUCUGAGCCAAGAAAACUUUAUGAAAUGCCAAAAUGUUCCAAAUCAGAAAAAAUAGAGGAUGCUUUAUUAUGGGAAUGCCCAGUGGGAGAUAUACUUCCCAAUUCAUCAGAUUAUAAGUCCUCACUCAUAGCACUGACUGCUCAUAAUUGGCUACUUCGUGUAUCAGCAACUACGGGAAAAAUCCUUGAGAAAAUAUAUCUUGCACCUUAUUGCAAAUUCAGAUACUUGAGCUGGGACACUCCUCAAGAAGUCAUUGCAGUUAAGUCAG